AUUGAACGCUGGCGGCAGGCCUAACACAUGCAAGUCGAGCGGAUGAGGGAAGCUUGCUUCCCGAUUUAGCGGCGGACGGGUGAGUAAUGCCUAGGAAUCUGCCUAUUAGUGGGGGAUAACGUUCCGAAAGGAACGCUAAUACCGCAUACGUCCUACGGGAGAAAGUGGGGGAUCUUCGGACCUCACGCUAAUAUAUGAGGCUGGGUCGGAUUAGCUAGUUGGUGGGGUAACGGCUCACCAAGGCGACGAUCCGUAGCUGGUCUGAGAGGAUGAUCAGCCACACUGGAACUGAGACACGGUCCAGACUCCUACGGGAGGCAGCAGUGGGGAAUAUUGGACAAUGGGCGAAAGCCUGAUCCAGCCAUGCCGCGUGUGUGAAGAAGGUCUUCGGAUUGUAAAGCACUUUAAGUUGGGGGGAAGGGUUGUAAGCUAAUAUCUUGCAGCUUUGACGUUACCAACAGAAUAAGCACCGGCUAACUCUGUGCCAGCCGCCGCCGUAACAC
rnacentral:rRNA from 1 species